rnacentral:rRNA from 1 species
AUUGAACGCUGGCGGCAGGCCUAACACAUGCAAGUCGAACGAGUGGCGGACGGGUGAGUAAUGUCUGGGAAACUGCCUGAUGGAGGGGGAAAACUACUGGAAACGGUAGCUAAUACCGCAUACCAUCGGAUGUGCCCAGAGGGGUUUAGCUAGUAGGUGGGGUAAAGGCUCACCUAGGCGACGAUCCCUAGCUGGUUUGAGAGGAAGAACAGCCACACUGGAACUGGGACACGGUCCAUGCUCCUACAGAAGGCAGCAGUGGGGAUUAUUGAACAAUGGGCGCAAGCCUGAUGCAGCCAUGCCGCGUGUAUGAAGAAGGCCUUCGGGUUGUAAAGUACUUUCAGCGGGGAGGCGUUACCCGAAGAAGAAGCACCGGCUAACUCCGUGCCAGCAGCCGCGGUAAUUC